CACAAAGUUAGCCAGGCCUGAGUGAGACAGAGAAGGACCAGGGAAGGGGUGGUAACCUGACUUCUGAGAAGGGCAGGUUGCAGUGUAACAGGCCUGUGUUCAGUGGUCCAUUCUCGCUGAGAAUGGAUGUGUUCUGCUCCCUUCUUUCUUGUUUGGUGGUACUGCGGUUUGAAUUCAGGGCCUUGUACUUGACAGGCAGGUGACUUACUUCCUAAGCUAUGCUCCCAGCCCCUUCUGCUUUCACGGCUUUUCCAAUCGUCCAGCACAGCCUAGACCACAGUACUCCUACGUGUGCUUUCCAUGAAGCUGCAUGAUAGGCCUGUGUUGAUGCACUUGGCUUUUCACUGGCUAAGAUGGAGUCUUAGGGACUUCUGCCUAGGCUGGCCUCAAACUGUGAAACACAUUCUUUCAGGGGCAGACUUGCAAUCCUCCUGCCUUGGCUUUCAUGCCUGGGAUUACAGGCAUGAGCCACCAUAUCCAGGCAAGAGAUUAUUUAAAAAACAACAACAACAAAAACAAAAACUCCAACACAUAGCUGAGCAGGAAUGUCUAAAUAACUCUCUUCCCUCACCACAGGUGGAGAGAGUAGGCUGCUCUAAACCUCACAUCCACCCCCAUCAGGCGCUUCCGUGGGGGCACCAAAGAGGAUUUGCUGACAGAGGGUGCUAGGCGUCCAAGGCCUCUUUCAGUGGAUCCUACACAGGCCGUGCACAGGAGUCCUCACCUCUUCCCCCUUCUCAGAUGCCUUGCAAUGGUGCCCCACACCAGGCAAGCCAUAGCCAGUGCAGUGGUAUGCAUCCACAAGCACCCUGGCACUCACAGCCAACUCCCGAGCAGGCAGCACCCUUUUACCAUGAGGAUAAUGACUUCGAAUCACCGUAAAGGAAGCUUGGAUUUCAGGAGAGCAAAGCCAGUCAAUGGCUGAACUACUCUGCCUUCCAGCACAGGGAGAGCACCUAAAUCCAAUCUGGCCACUCCCCUCCUCCGCAUCUCAUAGUGAGAUGAACCUCCGGCCUCAGCCUCCGGGGUUCUGGGUCAAAGGCAUGUAUCACCAUGCCCAGCCAUAAUACAGUAAGUUUUUGUAAAGGAAAAGUACACAUACUCAAAUCCCAUUUUGACAAACUACUCAGCUCCUGUAGUCUCUACAUUUUUAACAAUUAUUCAUUUGUAAUCAAAUGAGUAUAAUAACAAUAAGCACCCAAAAAGGAGAUGGCUCUGGGUGAAGGCCUGAGCUAGAAGAGUCCACAGUCCUAGUACUGGCGCUAUCUCAGCUUGUUAAAGGGACAGCCAGGAUAGCACCCAAACUCAAAACUGACUACCACAUGGGAGCUCUGAUGGAUCCUGGCAUGGGGGAGGGGGAUGGGGGGGUAAGACAAUACGAAGACAUUUUGGGACCAACUAGAGACAGGUGAACAUCACAGUAUGUAACAACCACCAUCAAAUAAUGAAGGUUUUCUUGGGUGCACAACUGAAACUGCAGUUACAAUAGACAAGGCCACUGCUCUCU